rnacentral:rRNA from 1 species
AUGUCGACCGACGCCGACCGUGCCGCCGCUGAGAAGGCCGAGGCCGACAAGAAGGCCGUCGAGGAUGCCGCGGCUGCUGCCACCGUCACUGCCGCCGUCCGCUGCCCCCGCGGCCCUCCCUACCGCUGCCGUCCAUCGGCUCCUCGCGCCCCGAGCGCAUCCGCGACCGCGACCCCUCCUGCAGCCCCCGCCGCGCCUAUGCCACUCGCCGCCGUCCAGGAGGUCCCCGUCGCCGCCCUUCAAGCGGUCCAGGCGGGACGACGGAUUUGCAAGAAUAUUAUGUUAUGUAAGAACAUGGCGGUGCAGUCACCCGAGGUGAAGAAGCUCCGUCACCUACCAACACCUCCUCCACCAGGCUGA